AUGGCUCAGCAGAAGGUGGUGUUAAAGGUUCUUACUAUGACAGAUGACAAAACAAAGAAGAAAUCAAUAGAAGCAGUUGCAGAUAUCUAUGGAGUUGAUUCAAUCGAGACAGAUGUUAAUGAACAGAAGUUAACAGUGAUUGGCGAAAUGGAUACAGUGGCAGUAGUGAAGAAGCUCAAGAAAGUGGGGAAGGUAGAUAUAGUAUCGAUUGGACCUGCCAUAGAAGAGAAGAAAGAAGGGAAAAAAGAAGAGAAACAAGAGGAGAAAAAAUAA
rnacentral:lncRNA from 1 species